UACGUAGGGGGCUAGCGUUGUCCGGAAUCAUUGGGCGUAAAGCGCGUGUAGGCGGUUCGGUAAGUCCGCUGUGAAAGUCGGGGGCUCAACCCUCGGAUGCCGGUGGAUACUGUCGAGCUUGAGUACGGAAGAGGCGAGUGGAAUUCCUGGUGUAGCGGUGAAAUGCGCAGAUAUCAGGAGGAACACCAAUUGCGAAGGCAGCUCGCUGGGACGUUACUGACGCCGAGACGCGAAAGCGUGGGGAGCAAACAGG
rnacentral:rRNA from 1 species